AACGAACGCUGGCGGCAGGCUUAACACAUGCAAGUCGAACGGUUGUAGCAAUACAGCAGUGGCAGACGGGUGAGUAACACGUGGGAACCUUCCUAGGGGUACGGAACAACUCAGGGAAACUUGAGCUAAUACCGUAUACGUCCGUGAGGAGAAAGAUUUAUCGCCCUUAGACGGGCCCGCGUCGGAUUAGCUAGUUGGUGGGGUAACGGCCUACCAAGGCGACGAUCCGCAGCUGAUCUUAGAGGAUGAUCAGCCACACUGGGACUGAGACACGGCCCAGACUCCUACGGGAGGCAGCAGUGGGGAAUCUUGGACAAUGGGCGCAAGCCUGAUCCAGCCAUGCCGCGUGAGUGAAGAAGGUCUUCGGAUUGUAAAGACUCUUUUGCCAGGACGAUAAUGACGGUACCUCGGAGGAAUAAAGACCCCGGCCGAAACUUACCGUU
rnacentral:rRNA from 1 species